AGUACCCUAUGUAUGUUCUCUACACAAAAUGAUUUGUGUGUCUGUUGUAUCUAUGAUGUGAGUAUUCUGCGGCACCUUAAGUGUGUUAAAUGAUGACCCUUGUCUGAUUUUGUGCACUAAAUGUAUAUUGACUGCUAAAAAAGGAAUUAUAUUUUGAGUGGGUUGAAGUAAAAGAAAGAGAGAAUGUGUACACUGUCAUUUCAUACUGAUUUAACCACAAAGAAUUCCAAUCUGAAUUCAGAGUUAUCAUAGUAUGAUUCAAGUUGCAAAUAGAAUAAAUAAAUAAAGACAUAGAAGUAGGCAGUAAGUAGUCGUAGUGGUUUGGUAGUACGUGCCAUUUCACACUCCAGUUGUACAUGUUGUGAAAGUGUCAAAUCAUUUCUAGAGUUCAUCUUAUCCUCCCAUCACUAAAGCAUGUUGUUGCAACCACCUGAUAAAAUGGGGUAACAUUUAGACAUUCAGCAUAAGAGUAGCCGACCAUGGAAUGUAUCAGGUCUUGACCUGGCAUGGAGCUGGCUUUUAUACCUCUUAGGAGUUUCAUUGAGGCCAGUCAUGUAGUGCAAACACCUUCAGAUCACAUCAUUAGUAUCUCCUUAGUAACGUCCGCCGCUGCCUUGGAGAAUGGACAAGGACAUCCUUUUUGAGGGCCUCUCGGCACUGGUCGGGGUCACCGUCAAGCCCCAGUCUGCAGCACCCCCUCCUCUUCUCAGGAGCUUUUCCGCUAGCCAGGCUCAUCCCGACAUACUCAGUGUGCAGGACCUGCUCACGGCAGUCUACUUUGACCAGGAGUUCUGGCAAGAUGUGAACUUCCGGAGGGUCGGCCUGCGCUCCAUGCCAGCCGUCCGCAGCGAUCUCUUUGUGAAUGACCAGCAUUUCUUUGACCCAGCGUGGGACUACGACUUCACCAACAUCUACGACACCACAACGUUCAUGAGGGGGAAUGAGGUGUACAAACGGCCCUGCGGGUGGAAGCGGUUCGCCCUCAAGGUUCUGGGGAAGUACCCCGACGGCAAUGCCUGGCUGGGCAAUGCAGGGUACCGCACCUACUCUGACCCGAACGAGUGGCCCGUGACCUAUCAUGGCACCUCUCUACCUGGAGCCCAUGGCAUCAUCAGCACCCACUACCUACCAGGCAGUGGGCAGACAUAUGGCAGGGGUAUCUACUCGACUCCUGAUGUGAAAGUGGCAGAAACGCACGGCUACGUCAAGACCUUCGUCUCCCAGAAGAAUGGGAAGACCUACAAAGUGUGCCUGCAGAACAGGAUCAACCAGAGAGUCAGGCAGGUUUGUGCCCGCCCAGAGUACUGGCUCGUGCCCAUCCCUGCAGGCACACCAGCCGAGUCAGAGAAGAAUAUCGUACUGGGCGCUAUUCGUCCAUACAGUCUCCUCCUGAAGGAAGCAUAAAAAUUGCCUGAUCAAAGUUCUCAUUUGCAGUUACAUAAAAUAAUUCCUAAAAUGUUGUCUCAGUCAACACACUCAGUGCAGUCAUUCAUUUCAUGUGUUAAUGUCAGGGCUCUGUGCUAAAAUGAAUAAAUGGCUUGAAAGUACAAA
ensembl:lncRNA